CCUACGGGAGGCAGCAGUGAGGAAUAUUGGUCAAUGGCCGGAAGGCUGAACCAGCCAUGCCGCGUGAAGGUCAGUGCCCUAUGGGCGUUAAACUUCUUUUGUGCGGGAGAAAUAAUGGUCACGUGUGGACAGAAGAGAGUACCGUAAGAAUAAGCAGCGGCGAAAGCCGUGCCAGCAGCAGCGGUAAUACGGGGGAUGCCAGCGUUAUCGUGAUUUAUUGGGUUUAAAGGGUGAGUAGGCUGUGAGAUAAGGUAGCGGUGGAAUGCCCCCGGUGAACGGGGUGAAGUGCCAUUGAUCCUGGCGUGCUGGAAUGCGGAUGCGGUGGGAGGAAUGUGUGGUGUAGCGGUGAAAUGCAUAGAUAUCACACAGAACACCGAUUGCGAAGGCAUCUCACGAAUCCGCGAUUGACGCUGAUGCACGAAAGCGUGGGGAUCAAACAGGAUUAGAUACCCGGGUAGUC
rnacentral:rRNA from 1 species